CUUCGCGGUCGAGAGGGAAACAACCCAGACCACCUGCUAAGGUCCCUAAGCAGAACUCAGUCACUAAGGACGUCGAGCUGCAAUGACAGCCAGGAUGUUGGCUUAGAAGCAGCCAUCAUUUAAAAAGUGCGUAACAGCUUACUGGUCGAGCAACUCCGCGCCGAUAAUGAACGGGAGUAAGUUCUGCACCGAAGCAGUGGGAUUCAUAGCUUUGCUAUGGAUCGGUAGGAGAGCGCUGUACGUCAGAUACAAGUCGCACCGUAAGGAGCGAUGUCGGGGCGUACAGGUGAUUAUGCCGGAAUGAGUAACGAUUAAGCAGGUGAGAAUCCUGCUCGCCGAAAGCCUAAGGUUUCCUGGGGAAGGUAAAUCCGCCCAGGGUUAGCCGGUUCCUUAGUCGAGGCCGAAAGGCGUAGACGAUGGACAGCAGGUCAACAUUCCUGCGCCACAAUGCCGGACCGAUGGAGGGACGGCGUCUGAAGGGUGAGGGGACGGAUAGAAAUGUCCCUCGCCUGUGUGAAUGGUAGCUGUAGGCAAAUCCGCAGCGACAUCCUGAAGCACGGGACAAAGACGCUUAUGUUUCGAUAGUCAUCUGAAGGACGUCCAAGAAAAGCUUCUAAGGGUUGAUGGCAUUGUGACCGUACUAAAACUGACACAGGUAGGCGGGAUGAGUAGUCCUAGGCGCUCGGGAGAACACUGGUUAAGGAACUCUGCAAAAUGGCCCCGUAAGUUCGCGAUAAGGGGUACCCCCGGUGGUUAACGCUGCUGGGGGUCACAGUAAAUCGGCAUCAGCGACUGUUUAUCAAAAACACAGGACUCUGCUAACUCGCAAGAGGAUGUAUAGAGUCUGACGCCUGCCCGGUGUUGGUAGGUUAAGGAAGAGGGUUCGCCGUAAGGCAAAGCUCGCGACCGAAGCCCCAAUAAACGGCGGCCGUAACUAUGACGGUCCUAAGGUAGCGAAGUUCCUUGUCGGGUAAGUUCCGACCUGCAUGAAUGGCGUAACGACUGAUGCACUGUCUCAACCAGUGACCCGGUGAAAUUGUAGCCGUGGUGAAGAUGCCACGUACCCGCAGUGUGACGGAAAGACCCCGUGAACCUUUACUGUAGGCUGAUAUUGGUCUUGGACGUGUUCUGUGUAGGAUAGGUGGGAGGCUUUGAAGCGGUGACGCAAGUCAUUGUGGAGCCAACGUUGAAAUACCACCCUGAAUUCGUUUGAGUUCUAACUCUGAUUCCCGUGAAACCGGGCAGAGGACAUUGUCAGUUGGGCAGUUUGACUGGGGCGGUCUCCUCCAAAAGAGUAACGGAGGAGUUCAAAGGUACCCUCAGCCUGGUUGGCAAUCAGGCAUUGAGCGUAAAGGUAGAAGGGUGCUUAACUGCGAGACUUAUAAGUCGAGCAGGUACGAAAGUAGGACUUAGUGAUCCGGCGGUGCUGGAUGGAAAGGCCGUCGCUCAUCAGAUAAAAGGUACUCCGGGGAUAACAGGCUUAUCGCUUCCGAGCGUCCAUAGCGGCGAAGCGGUUUGGCACCUCGAUGUCGGCUCAUCACAUCCUGGGGGUGGAGAAGCUCCCAAGGGUUUGGCUGUUCGCCAAUGAAAGUGGUACGUGAGCUGGGUUCAGACCGUCGUGAGACAGGUCGGUCCCUAUCUGCUGUGGGCGCACGAAACUUGAGGGGAUUCUUCUUUAGUACGAGAGGAUUUGGAAGGACGUUCCUCUGGUGUUCCAGUUGUCACGCUAGUGGCACGGCUGGAUAGCUAAGAACGGAACGGAUAAACGCUGAAAGCAUAUAAGCGUGAAGCCCGCCCCAAGAUGAGGUUUCGUAGGGUGUAUACCCGAAAGUCCCCUGGAAGACGACCAGGUUGAUAGGCCGGACGUGUACGUGCAGUAAUGCAUUUAGCUAACCGGUACUAACGGACGAAUGCUUGACCAC
rnacentral:rRNA from 1 species